rnacentral:rRNA from 1 species
AAGCGACACCGCGAGGUGAAGCAAAUCUCGAAAAGACGUCUCAGUUCGGAUCGCAGGCUGCAACUCGCCUGCGUGAAGUCGGAAUUGCUAGUAAUCGCGAAUCAGCAUGUCGCGGUGAAUACGUUCCCGGGUCUUGUACACACCGCCCGUCACACCAUGGGAGUCGGAAAUGCCCGAAGUCGGUGACCUAACCGAGAGGGAGGAGCCGCCGAAGGCAGGUUCGGUAACUGGGGUGAAGUCGUAACAAGGUAUC